UACGUAGGGGGCAAGCGUUGUCCGGAAUCAUUGGGCGUAAAGAGCGUGUAGGCGGCUCGAUAAGUCUGCUGUGAAAGUCCAGGGCUCAACCCUGGAAGGCCGGUGGAAACUGUCGGGCUAGAGUCCGGAAGAGGCGAGUGGAAUUCCCGGUGUAGCGGUGAAAUGCGUAGAUAUCGAGAGGAACACCUGCGGCGAAGGCGGGUUGCUGGGCUGACACUGACGCUGAUGCGCGAAAGCCAGGGGAGCGAACGGG
rnacentral:rRNA from 1 species